rnacentral:rRNA from 1 species
CAGUCGCCGCGGGAAUACGGAGGGAGCUAGCGUUAUUCGGAAUUACUGGGCGUAAAGCGCACGUAGGCGGCUUUGUAAGUAAGAGGUGAAAGCCCGGAGCUCAACUCCGGAACUGCCUUUUAGACUGCAUCGCUUGAAUCCAGGAGAGGUGAGUGGAAUUCCAAGUGUAGAGGUGAAAUUCGUAGAUAUUCGGAAGAACACCAGUGGCGAAGGCGGCCAUCUGGGACAACACUGACGCUGAGGCACGAAAGCGUGGGGAGCAAACAGGAUUGGAUACCCCAGUAGUCCCUGUCUCUUAUAC